UGAACCUGCCGACUGCACCGAUAACGCGUGCAGGACACUGUCCCCUGUCUACUCCGCGUGUCCAGGUGCUGUGAUGAAUGACACAUCCAUCAAGCCAUAUCAUCUUCAGACUCUGCCAUGUGAAGCCAACGAGAGCUAUCUGCUGGUAACCAAAUGAUGAUCUUAUGAAAAGGUCCUCAUCAUUUGUCUUCCACUACAAUGUGACUUUCUCAAGGGCCAAGACUGUGUGCCUGAUACCCCUCGGAGUCUGUGCUACCCAGAAAAGCACCUGGCAUCCCAUAAGUAGGCUGUCAAAGAAAUGUUUGUGGGCACCUGGGUGG